rnacentral:tRNA from 2 species
CGCGGGGUAGAGCAGUUUGGUAGCUCGCAAGGCUCAUAACCUUGAGGUCACGGGUUCAAAUCCUGUCUAUUAGU